AAGGGUAUAGCUUAAUUAAAGUACCUGUUUUGCAUGCAGGAGAUGUGGGGUAGUAUCCCGCUAUUCUUA
rnacentral:tRNA from 1 species